UCUCCCAGAAACUGUGCUGUCUCACAACAUCUUUCUGAAUUAUCACUUUAUUUUUGAGACAAGAGUUUAAUCUUUCAAACGAAGUGUAUGCUGAUGGAAGAGGCCAGUGGUUCUGUAGGCGGAAGAGAAGAGCAGUGCUACCCUUGUGCGUGGGAGAAACAUUAAGAUGAAGGAAACAGCUAGUGGAGCCAGACUGCCUGGAUCUGAAAUUGGUUCUGCCACCAGCUAUAAUCAUUUACUGAGCAGACAUUGAACAAACUGCUGGGGAUGCUACUAUACUGACUCUGUGUAGGACCUAAUUGGAAAUUGAAGAAUCCAACGGAAAGCAAGAUGAAAAGGCAAGGGUGUACCUAUUGAUCCCAGAUCCAGGGAGCCAUCAUUUGUCAGUAGACCUGCCUUCAGAUGUUCCAUAGGGUCUUCAGAGUUUACAGAACAACUUAAGAUCACUCCAAACCAGAGUCAGAGACAUCCCUGCCACGUAGCACAUAGAUUUAUAACUCGGUGCAAAGGUUUCUACAAAUACGAUUUCUUCACUCCAAAGUCCAUCUAUGCAUGCUCCCCAAAAUAAAGAACAGUGUAUUUCUGUCUGCUGGCCUCUAACCCCAGGACCCUGGGAGCAGGGGCAGGAGGAGUUCCAAAAAGGUCUUCUUAUAGCUCUGGCAAUAAUGACUAGCUCAAACAGGCUGGCACUGCUGUCGAGACAUCCAAGGACUUUUUUAUUUAUCACUCUCUUUUUUUUUUCCAACUGAGAUAGAGUCCACACUGACACAAGCAGUCCAGAAAAAAGAAACUGUGUCUCUUGAAACUUUUACUUAGGUGGUGUAAAUGGGAAGAUCAUAACCCAAAGAUUUGGUGAAAAUACACUUCCUAUCCACACAAUCCGUUAUAAUGUUGCAAUUGAAAAGUUCUACUCAGAGAAAGAGAAUGAGUUCAAACAAACAAACAAAUAAAAAAACAGACAAGAUCUGGGAUUAGGUCUGAUGAUCUGGAACAUAAUAAAUUUCUGAUUCCAUAUCUGGGAUCCGGGUUCAUAGUCUGGGACAUAAAUCUGAAUCUUCAGUGGCUGUAUUACCCUGCCCCCCACCAUCUCCUCCCAUGAAGAUAGGCAACAGUGAAGGUGCUUGAAUUCUUUCAGGCCCCGUGAGUGUCACUGAGCAAUUUUUUUCUUUAGCAUCUCACAUAAACACUGCUGAAAUAACAGAUAAACUUCACCUGGGUGCCUGACUAGGGGAGUGUAGUUCAAAUAUCUGAAGUCCACGUGACAAUGCCAUCUGAGGAAAACUUGACUUAAAGCCAAUGUAAUGAUACUAAACCCACUCUUCUGAGCAAUUUUGUAUAAGGCAUCCAUUUGAGAGCUCAGCCCAAAUACUAGUGGAACUCAGUAUUAUGUUACAAUCUGACUUACCACAACGUCUUGCAGCAGAGUCCAGGCAGGUAUGGUGUUAACCUUUGAAUCAUGUAAUCUGGGCAGGAGCCAACCGGCCUAUGGAACCCCUGAAAAUGAAAAAUUACCCUCCAGAGAUGGGAAAGUGUGCGUGCCUUGGAAACUGUGAUAAGAGGCUCUUGGAAACUGACAACCACAUGAAUGCCUACAAUUUCUUCUCUAUUGAGAAGUUCACUGUCUAGGGGGGAAAGCACAUAAAAAAUAACAAUCAUAAAAAAAAUAAUUUAAGUGCUAUAUUAAAGGUAUGUUCAGGGUGCUGUCAGGACCCAGAAGAGGGACACCUCAUCCAGCCAGACAUUGAGGGCCAGGGAAGGCUGCCACUAUGUCUAGUUAUAAGAAAUUCAGAUACAGUUGGUGCAUCUUGCCUUGAAUGACACUUGUCUUCCAAAUAAAUCAAACUCUUCCCAGAA